AGAGGGGGCAAGCGUUGUUCGGAAUUACUGGGCGUAAAGGGCGCGUAGGCGGCCGCCUAAGUCAGACGUGAAAUCCCUCGGCUCAACCGGGGAACUGCGUCUGAUACUGGGUGGCUUGAAUUCGGGAGAGGGAUGCGGAAUUCCAGGUGUAGCGGUGAAAUGCGUAGAUAUCUGGAGGAACGCCGGUGGCGAAGGCGGCAUCCUGGACCGAGAUUGACGCUGAGGCGCGAAAGCCAGGGGAGCAAACGGGAUUAGAUACCCCGGUAGUCCUGGCCCUAAACGAUGAGUGCUUGGUGUGGCGGGUAUCGAUCCCUGCCGUGCCGAAGCUAACGCAUUAAGCACUCCGCCUGGGGAGUACGGUCGCAAGGCUG
rnacentral:rRNA from 1 species